GUGCUUGCUUGACAGCAUACAAACUAAAAUUAGAAUGAUGGAAAUAAGAUUAGUAGCAUGGCUCCUAUGCAAGAGGGACACAUAAAUUUGUGAAGAGGGACAUAUUUUU